rnacentral:rRNA from 1 species
CCUACGGGGAGCAGCAGUGGGGGAUAUUGCACAAUGGGCGAAAGCCUGAUGCAGCGACGCCGCGUGAGUGAAGACGGUCUUCGGAUCGUAAACCUCUGUCUGUGGGGAAGAAAAUGACGGUACCUAACGAGGAAGCUCCGGCUAACUACGUGCCAGCAGCCGCGGUAAUACGUAGGGAGCAAGCGUUGUCCGGAAUUACUGGGUGUAAAGGGAGCGUAGGCGGGGUGGCAAGUAGAAUGUUAAAUCCAUGGGCUAAACCGGGGGCUGCGUUUUAAACUGCUGUGCUUGAGUGAAGGAGGGGCAAGCGGAAGUCCUAGUGUAGCGGUGAAAUGCGUAGAUAUUAGGAGGAACACCAGUGGCGAAGGCGGCCUGCUGGGCUGUAACUGACGCUGAGGCUCGAAAGCGUGGGGAGCAAACAGGAUUAGAUACCCCAGUAGUC